rnacentral:rRNA from 1 species
AGAGUUUGAUCAUGGCUCAGACUGAACGCUGGCGGCAGGCCUAACACAUGCAAGUCGAGCGGCAGCGGAAGGAAGCAAGCUUCCUUGCCGGCGAGCGGCGGACGGGUGAGUAAGGUAUGGGGAUCUGGCCGAAGGCGGGGGAUAACCACUGGAAACGGUGGCUAAUACCGCAUAAUCUCUAAGGAGCAAAGUGGGGGACCGUUCAGGCCUCACACCUUCGGAUGAACCCAUAUGAGAUUAGCUAGUAGGUGGGGUAAUGGCUCACCUAGGCGACGAUCUCUAGCUGGUCUGAGAGGAUGAUCAGCCACACUGGGACUGAGACACGGCCCAGACUCCUACGGGAGGCAGCAGUGGGGAAUAUUGCACAAUGGGCGCAAGCCUGAUGCAGCCAUGCCGCGUGUAUGAAGAAGGCCUUCGGGUUGUAAAGUACUUUCAGUCGUGAGGAAGGUGUUAAGGUUAAUAACCUUAGCAAUUGACGUUAGCGACAGAAGAAGCACCGGCUAACUCCGUGCCAGCAGCCGCGGUAAUACGGAGGGUGCGAGCGUUAAUCGGAAUUACUGGGCGUAAAGGGCACGCAGGCGGUUAAUUAAGUUGGAUGUGAAAUCCCCGGGCUUAACCUGGGAAUGGCAUUCAAGACUGGUUAGCUAGAGUCUUGUAGAGGGGGGUAGAAUUCCAUGUGUAGCGGUGAAAUGCGUAGAGAUGUGGAGGAAUACCGGUGGCGAAGGCGGCCCCUGGACAAAGACUGACGCUCAUGUGCGAAAGCGUGGGGAGCAAACAGGAUUAGAUACCCUGGUAGUCCACGCUGUAAACGAUGUCGAUUUGGAGGUUGUGGUCAUGAACUGUGGCCUCCGGAGCUAA